rnacentral:lncRNA from 1 species
GCCCAACCACUAUCUCCUGGGUUCCACACGAGUGGUCAGGGCUUAUGUGGAAGCUUAGGGCUUGGAUUUCUGGGAACGAAGGGCCAUCCCAAGAUCGAGCAAGAAACUCUGGCCCUCUACCUUAAAUAGUCUCCCUCCCACUCUAGUUAGCAUCUAUUGUUGCUGAGACCUGCUUGCCCUAAGACUGUCUGGAUAUGUUGGGUGCUUUGCAGGAAAUCCAAGCCUUAGGUUCCCUUCUGUCUCUGGCAGUCGGAUGUUCUCUUGGUGUCCUUCAUGUCCUUUUGAACUUUUCCCUGUGUCCAUUGUUAGCAUGUGCAAAAAAGUUCUUGUCAUUCCCCACCCCUGCCCUUCCCCGCCUCCUCAUUUCAGGGCUGCAUACAGUGAGUGUCCUGUUCUCUCUCUCUGUUUGGAUGUAUUGCUCUGUGUAACUCAGUGGAUCUCCCUCUUUCUGGUUUGUUUUUUUUUCUAGAUUCCUGCCGUUUGUUCAUCGUUGUGCCUAAAGCAUGUCGAUGUGGCGUCAAGUACAUCGUCCAAAUCCCUGUCUCUUCAGCUUCUCUGAUGCUUGAACUCUCACCUUUGACCUUGUGUUGACCUUUGAUGCUGAUGUGUAUUUUAUUAUGUUUGUUUCUUUCUUUGUUUUUUCUUUUUUCUUUCUUUUUUUUCCCUUUUGUGCUGCCAAAAUUGGUUUUGCUAGAACGACUGCUGAAGGGAAAAUAUUUAAACUUGCAUUUGAAUAUAAAAAAAAUCUAUUUUUCUAGAACUUCCUAAGAUAACCACUUGAUUUUGU